GAUGAACGCUAGCGGGAGGCUUAACACAUGCAAGCCGAGGGGUAUAGAGUGCUUGCAUUCUAGAGACCGGCGCACGGGUGCGUAACGCGUAUGCAACCUGCCCUUAUCAAGUGGAUAGCCCUUCGAAAGGAGGAGUAAUACGCUAUAAUAUAUGUAAUGGCAUCGUUAUGUAUUGAAAGAUUAAUUGGAUAAGGAUGGGCAUGCGUCAGAUUAGCUAGUUGGUACGGUAAUGGCGUACCAAGGCUACGAUCUGCAGGGGGCCUGAGAGGGUGAACCCCCACACUGGUACUGAGACACGGACCAGACUCCUACGGGAGGCAGCAGUGAGGAAUAUUGGACAAUGGGUGGAAGCCUGAUCCAGCCAUCCCGCGUGUAGGAAGACGGCUCUAUGGGUUGUAAACUACUUUUUUGCAGGAAGAAAUCCAGUUACGUGUAGCUGGUUGACGGUACUGUAAGAAUAAGCAUCGGCUAACUCCGUGCCAGCCGCCGCCGUAACAC
rnacentral:rRNA from 1 species